GGCUAACUCACAGAUAGAACCCUGAAACAACCUCAUAAACCUGAUAACCCGCAGAAAGCGUACCCUCCGAAUCAACAAACUCUACUCACACGUGAUGCCAAGUCAAGUAAUCAAAUGCGAGACCCCAGAGAUUAGACGGACAUUACGUAACAACGCACGCCACCCGUGCUUCCCAUAUAGAUGCGCUUUUGCAUCUAUCUGCACUAUGAUUGGUUAAUUUUUGAAGUCAUCAAACCGGCCCUCCCUAUUUUCCUCUGACGCAAAUACUUUUAAAGAUUUUCCAAAUAGUUUUCUUUGCAUUUAGAGUGUCUUGGAUCUCGUCGUAGCCAAGGGAUCAUCAGAUGACUUGGACGACAACGAGGUUUUCAACACUUGGCUAUGAACAUUCAACUAACAAUAUUCUCGACCAAUGAGCAUCAUAUAACCAUCUUGGACCGGUCCAUAUAUAAAUUUAAGCACCUGUACAUUUCAUCAUAGUUCGCCCGCGUGGUCCUUUACUCACUUAGACGAGCAAGAUACCUUUCCAUACACAUAAUCAAAUUGGUUGUGACACGUUUGAAGAACUUCAUAUAGGACGUUUGCACGAUGGCGUCAUUUGACUCCUGCUACCAGAAUCCCUUGCACAUCGUCCUAUUAAAAUUAGCGAAGCAUAAAGAAGUAUAACCCUCCGCGCAUGCGCUGACAUUGUUGUCACGCAACGUAACGUGACGUCCUUAACAUGUGCUAGCUCACUGACCUCUGGGGUUUCCUGGUUUUCUUUCACGGGCAGAAAGGAAAUCCCGAAUUUCGUACAGUAAUAAUCAAGGGUGACAGUGUUAGGGCGGUAGUAUUAGCCUCGAGCAUAACAAGACUAUUAAAACCUGAGUGACAAAAGAUUCUUAGGACGUGAACUAGACUAGAAUGCAUCUCGUUCGCAAACUUAAAGUUAUCAAUUAUCCAACGUUAAACGCGUGAAAAUGGUUAUUCUCUCGAUAUAAUUUGGUCAUUAGGACUAAAACUGUUCGAAUAAGCACUAUAAAUCUAAAACGAUUAAAAAUCGUCCUUGUCAAAUAAACGUCGUUUUACUCCAUUUUCGUUGUCACAAGCCACAAGCUAAACCUCAGUAGACUUAAGUAGGUUGGCUACAUCCGUGACUUAGAUCAGCUCAGAGGCUUCAGGACAUGCAAUAAGAUUUGACGUUUGUUUGAUGGAGGUCAUAGCGGGUGCUUCAUGACAGAUAUGCAUUUUCUGUGGUUAUAGCUUGUUGCUUGCAGGCCGAAGGGUGUGUGUUUUUAAAAAAUCAGACAUAGCAUUGAAGUCUUUAAACUGACUUUAAUGUACUUAUCAACAGUUUUAAUAUAAAUUAUUAUUAAUAAAUUAAUAUUUUACAAAUAGUUAUAGCAUAAGUACCUAUAAGGGUGUACAAUGUCUAGAAAAAACGUCUACAAGUUGUCACACCUAAGUAUGUCCAAACAUGUAUUAUUUAUUAUUAAUAAUUACGCAGUUAUGUCGUUAGAAAGAUGAAUAAACGUAAACCCGACUGUUUA